CAUUUCUCCUGAAGAGCAGAUUCAGCUCCAGUCUACUCAAAUGCUCUUACUUGCUAAUGUAAACCACAACGCAUGUCUUGUCCUCUGUAAAACAUGUGAAACUCAGCUUAUUUUUUCAAAGUAAUACUGAUAGAAAUGUGCCUAUUCCCUUCUUCAUGGAACUUCCUUACCAGAAUCGGUUGAUUGUGGUUUGCAGUGUGUAAGAAGAUGGGUGUGGAGAUAGAUGUCAAUGCAAAGCUGAGUAGGAAGGAAAAGGU
rnacentral:lncRNA from 1 species